UUUUGUUGUCCUCCGUUAGUACGGCUGGUGGUGUGGUGUGGUAAUUUUCUAAACCCCGACGGGUCUAUGAUCUUUUGUAUCCAACCGAUCAUGGCUAAUUCGUUCUUCCUACCGGUGAAAUCUUCUCUAGGGUAUUUUUUGAAGCGAAUCAUAUGAGACUAUGAUGAUCCGAUCAUCGCUCUUCGCUAGGGUUUGGGUCUCUCUCAAUUCCAUGGGUAGGGUUUGGGUCUCUCUCAAUUCCAUCGGUAGGGUUUGGGUCGCUCUGUCAUCGCUCGCUCCCCCGCUUCUGAGUUUUUCACACUCCUCCUGAGUCCUCCAACGAUUUUGUGGAGGAGGAGGAUUCGCUACGGUCGAUCGGUCUGAUGAUGCAGGUCCUCGUUAAGGAUUGCUCUGUUAAAAUCUUAUGAUUCUGAUAUCUUGUGUUACAUCUUCUAGUCUCUUAGGUGAUAUGCUUACUUCUGAGAGAUCCUCUGUUGCACUAGGCUGGAAGUACAUUUGAGGUUUUGAAGGAUGCAUUUAUCGAUGAGAGUGAUGGCUUUGAUGGACACGCCUCUUCUCUGUUCUACGUUUUCAGGGUGUUUUGGAAGCGAGUUAUGAUCAGAUUCAUAUCAUUGUGGUUAAAUGCUCAUCCUUUUUUUAUAGGUUAUCAAUAAUAUCUUCUGAUCUCACUGGUGAUCUUUUGUUAUAGCAAUGAGGUUCUACAAGAGAAAUCGGCCCCGAAGGCAAGGACGGGAACGAGCGGAAUCAUCAUAUCCUUAUGACAGUUUUUUUUUUUUUGUUUUUUUUUAAUGUGAAAUGCUCCGCUUUAAUUUUUGACAGGUAUAGUGAGCUUGAAAGAUGCCUUUGAUCUUGUGGUUCCAUGUUUACACUCUGACAUCCUCUGAUAUAAAAGGGAUUUUGAGCUGUGAACUCUGACGGAGUGUCUUCUGAUUAUUUGGUAUGUUGAGGAUGCAAAGGAGUUUAACCUGCGAGUGUGAACAUGUGGUUUAUUCAGUUGGUUUAGGUUUGUGGUGGAGGAUCCUACUAUUGAUCGGUUUUGAAUCAUGUUUUUUUCGAUGAGAGUCAUGGUUUUGAUGGACACGCUUCUUCUCUGCUCUACGUCUUCAGGGUGUUUUGGAAGCUAAUUAUGAUCUUAUCAUCACGUAUUCUACUUUCUCCAUGUUAUACGUCUUCAGGCCUUCUCACAGGUUUGUGGUGGAGGAUCCUACCGUUGAUCAGUGAUGGCUUUGACUGAUAGUUUUCACUCUAGUUCAUGUUAUUCUCCUAAGGAUUUUGUGGAGGAGGAGGAGGAUGCACUAGGAUUGAUCUGUGAUGGCUUUGAUUGAUCUAGUCGUAGUUGAGGUAGUGUGGGAUUGCUCUGUUAAAAUAUUAUGAUUCUGAUAUCUUGUGUUACAUCUUCUAGUGUCUUUUGUUUUCUCAAGUCUCUUAGGUGAUAUGCUUACUUCUGAGAGCUCCUCUGUUGCACUAGGCUGGACGUACAUGUGAGGCAUUUACAACUCUCUUUCCCUUUGGUUUUGGAUGUGUGCUUUUACUGAUCAGUUAUGGCUUUGAUGGACACGCUUCACUUCUUCUCUGUGCAACGUCGUCAUUGGUUUUUGGAAGGGAAUUAUGAUCUGAUCAUCACGUGUAUUUCUCUAUAAUACAUCUUCAGGCCUUCGCACGGUUCCUUGCUCUAAUCGUUUGUAAAGGAUCGGUGAUGGCUUUGACUGAUAGUUUUCACUCUAGUUCAUGUAAUUCUUCUAAGGUUUAUAAUUAUGCUUUUUAACGAGGAGAGUCAUGACUUUGAUGGACACGCCUCUUCUCUGCUCGCAGUCUUCAGGGAUAUUUUGGAAGCGAAUUAUGAUCAGAUUUAAUCAUUGCAUAAUCUUCUCGAGGCAACAUUUCAGGCUUUCUCAGGGGUUCCUUACUUCAAACGCAUCUCUAUUUGCUUCUGAAUUUUCAAUUUUGCUUGAUGGUUUUUUUUACUUCUAAUUACAUGGUACUUACUGUCUUUUUUUGUUUCGGUGGUUUAGAUUUGUGGAGGAGGAUCCUACAAUUGGUCGGUGAUGACUUUGAUGGAAACGGUUCUUCUUUGUGCUAUGUCUUCAGAGGUGUUCCGGAAGCAAUUAUGAUCGAAUCAUUGCAUAUUCUUCUCCAAUGUUAUGAAUUUAUUUAUGUGGUUUACAUGUCAUUCUGUUAUUUCAGGUUUUUGGAUGAUGUUUUUAUCGAUGAGAGUGAUGUCUCAAGGAGACAUGGACACGCUUCGCUUCUUCUCUGUGCUAACGUAUUCAACGGUUUUGUCCUUCCUCUUAACACUUCUUUCACCCUCUGUGCUAACGUAUUCAAGUCUUACUUCUGAGCUCCUCUGGUGCACUAAGCUGGACAUGCGAUUUCCAUUGGUUUUUUGGAAGGGAAUUAUGAUCUGAUCAUCACGUGUAUUUCUCCAUAAUACAUCUUCAGGCCUUCGCAUGAGUUCCUUGCUCUAAUCGUGUCUCUAUUUCCUUUUGAAUUUUCACUUUGUUUCGGUGUUUUUUUCUAAUUACUUGGGUUUUUGUUUUGUUGGUUUAGGUUUGUGAAGGAUCCUACGAUUGACCGGUGAUACCUUGACUGAUCGUUGUCACUCUAAUUCAUGUUAUAUGAUCCAUCAGUGAUUGUUGGAGGAGUAUACUAAGAAGAUCUAUCGGUCAUAGAUCGUAGAGGCAAUGGGAUUGCUCUGUUGAAUCUUUCUUCUCUACCUUUUCUCUUCUGGUUUCUUCUGAUUUCUCAAGAGGUUUAGUUUAUUUUUAUUUUUUUUUUGUGUGUGUGGGAGGAUGGCUUGAUGUGUGCAAUUUCGUGUUUCGUGUUACUUCGCAUCUAUUGGUUGAUUUAUUUAAUUUUGGCUAUUUUUUGUUAGGUAUGAUCUGUCCUCUGUUUCUCUUUUAUUGUGUUUUUCAGGUUUUCUGCAUGAAUCACUCCUCUCUGUUUCUCUGCUGAUGUCUGUCUACACAUAUUCAUAUGAAAGGUUGUCUUAAGUUCCUUUCCAAACGAGGUUGUUCAUAUACCUUGUCCUGAGUUACCAAUAAUGUCUUAUGAUCUUUUGUUAUAGCAAUGAGGUUCUACAAGAAAAAAGUGUCAGGUUACUAACUGGUUCAUGCGCUUUUUGGUUGAUCCUUGUCAAGCGGGUCCCCGCUGAGGUAGUGUGGGAUUGCUCUGUUAAAAUCUUAUGAUUCUGAUAUCUUGUGUUACAUCUUCUAGUCUUUUAGGUGAUAUGCUUACUUCUGAGAGCUCCUCUAUUGCACUUGGCUGGACGUACAUGUGAAUUUCUUCAGUUUUGGAGGAGGAUCCUUUGAUUGAUCGGUGAUGGCCUUGACUGAUCGUUGUCACUCCAAUUCAUUUUUUUGGAUGAUGCUUUUAUCGAUGAGAGUGAUGAUGGCUCAAGGACACGAUUCACUUCUUCUCUUUGAACGUCUUCAAGGGUUUUCUCUUAACACUUCUUUUACUCUCUGUUUUUUGUUCUAUACAGUCUUUUCCUCUUCGUCUUGCAGGUGUUUUGGAAGCGAGUUAUGAUAUGAUCAGGUAACUGCAUAUUCUUCUCCAUGCUUUCUCACAGGUUCCUUGCUAUAAACGCAUCUCUAUUUGCCUUACGAAUAUUCACUUUGGUUCGGUGUUUUUUUUCUUCUAAUUGUAUGUUACUUACUUAUCGUUUUUUGUUUUGUGGGCUCACAUUUGUAAGGGAUCCUACCAACCAUUGUCACUCUAAUUUAGGUUGUGGAGUAUCGGUCGGUGAUGCUUUUGAUGUAUCCUUUUUGUCUACUAUGCGCUACAUCUUCGGGUAGUGUUCUUCCUCCUUACGAAAAUCUUGUCUUUUGUUGCAGAAACUCGAGGUUAUUAACUAGUGUCUUAGGUCUGCUAAACCUGAAUAUUUAUAAGUUGUUUUCUUUGUGUGCUUAAAUCUGCCAAUUAAUGUCUUUUUUUUAAAAGUCUCUUAGAUGGUACGCUUAUGUCUGAGCUCCUCUUAUGCACAAAGCUAGUUGGACAUGUGGUUUAUUCAGGUUUUUGGUCUCUUUCCCGUUGGUAUUUUUCUCUGUUUAUGUAUCUCUCUCAUGUUGCAUCUAUUCCCACUGUUUAAUCAUAUAUAGUCGAAAGUCUUAUCUCUCAUGCUACAUUUAUGUUUAGUGCUUUUGACGCAGUUUUUUUUUAGCAUUGGCAGGCCCUGAAGCGAAAGAGGGGAACGGAACCAUCAUAUCCUUGUAAAAGUUUUUUUUUUUUAAUGUGAAAUGGUCCUCUUUAAUUUGUUUUAGGUAUAUUGAGCUUGAAAGAUGCCUUUGAUCUUGUGGUUCCAUGUUUACACUCUGACAUCCUCUGAUGUAAAAGGUUCGACAUAUGGUUUAUGGAUUUUGAGCUGUGAACUGUGACAGUGGGGAGUGUCUUUUGAUUUUUUGGUAUGUUGAGGAUGCUAAGGAGUUUAAUUUGUGAGUGUCAGAACAUGUGGUCUAUUCAGGUUCUUGUUCUCUUUCUCUUUGGGAUCUGUUUGCUAUCUCUUUGUUUUGAUAAACUAGAUAUUGAAUUUUGGCUUCCUGAGUUUUGGACUGUGGCACUGGGCAGUCUACAACAUCAUUUGGACUUAUUAUUGGAUGUUUCAGGUUUUUUGUAGUUGAUGAUCUUCUUAGUGAUAGGGAAUUUAUGUUUUAUGCCUAAGACCAUUUGUUAUUGAUAGUCAAGGUUCUAAAAGAGAGAAGCAUCAGGUAACUAAUUGGUCAGUUUCCCUAUAUAGUUUUUCAUGUUACAUCUAUUUCUAGUGUUUGAUCUUAAUCUCAUAUGCUUGUGAUUGGGGUUUUCCUUAUGUGAUGUGCUCCCUUCUUUGUUAUUUCUAUGUUAUUUCUUAUGUGUUUGAUCCCUACUCUCAUAUGCUUGUGAUUGGUGGUUUUCUCUUUUCCUUGGAGAUAUGAUCAGUAUUGCUUCCCAUUUUCUCUUUUUGUCUUUCUGCAUUGUUCUAUGGUUUAAAUGCUAAUCACUUCUGUUUGGGAUUGUGUUUUCUAUUUCUACGUGAAUUCAUUAUCUGUGUAUAGGAAUUUGGAUGAUGCAAGUAGAAGUUCUGUUUGAAUUCUUAAUUCCUAUGGUUGAUUCAGGUGCCAUGAGCUUCUUUUUCCUGGUGUUUGUUAGUUGUUACGCCUCUUUCUAUUUGUGAAUUACUUCUGAUUGUUAUAGUUUAUUGGGUAUUCCAGAGAAGUAAGUUUUGGGUUCCUCACUGGUGGCAUAAAGGAUUGAUCUCAAUUGGUAUGUUUCCUUUUUGUUAUUAUUUCUCCUCUCUGUGUCUUAUUGUAUUUUCCAGGAUUUCUUCAUCAAUCACUAUAUUCCGAUCCUUUGCACUCCGAUCCUUUUAAAUGGGUUUGUACUUAUUAUCUGUCCUUUUUAUGAUGGAUGUGUCUACCAAAGUAGUUUUUGCAUUGAACAUCUUCAAGUCUGAGCUUCUUCUCUUAAGCAGAAAGCUAGACAUGUUGUUAAUCAGGUAUUUUGAAGUGUAUUUAGCCUCAUGAGCUUCUAACUAUGAGAUAUGAGACUAUGACAGUUGGGGAAUUUCACAUGAUUAGAAAUUGUUUAUUGGAUGUUUCCCGUCAACAGUAAUGUUCCUCAUUUAUCUAGUGUUAUUCGCAUUUCUGCUUAUGCCUGUUUUUUUUUGUUAAGUCUUUUAACAUAGAUACUUCAGGAUACUACUUGGUCUCUUAUCCAUUUUGGUGUCCUAUAUAUAUUCCUACUCUUUUAUCUCUUGUUUAGUCCCAAUUAUAUAUGCUUGUGAUGGUAGCUUUUCUAUUUAUGAAUUACUUCCCUUCAUUAUAGGUAUGUUGAGGAUGUGAAGAGCCAGAGUCCCUAUUUGAUGUUUUGGGCAUUGAAGAUUGAAAUUUUGAUUGCAGUACCUUUUUUUUUAUACCAGUGGUGUUUUGUGCCUUUUUCUGUUUUGGUUUUACCACUAUAUUGUCUUGUGUUGGUGAGUUGUGUUACUGCUCAGAUUCUCUUUAGUUUGCUAUUUUGAUGUUAUCAUUUAUUUGAUUAUGUAAGUGAUUAUUGCUGGUAGUGUGACCUCAUGGGGGCAGCCUCAUAGAAGGUGAAGAGUUUUGGUUUUGUUGAUAAUGGUCUUUACUUCUGACUUGUGAGGUUUCUUGCUUCCUGGGUUGUGGUUGGUUUUAAUGGUUCGAUCGCUAGACAUUUGAUAAUAAAGUCCUCGCUUGAUUUUGUUUGGGAGGGGAGGCUUAAUUUUAUGGAUAGACUUCGUAGGAGUGUUCUUAUGUAGUCAGUGAAAAUUGAAAACAUCACCUCUUUACAUCUGGUGAAGAGGUUGAUUAAGUAAGUUGUUGGAUUGUUACCUCCAAAUCAUAGUUCCUUUUGUUUCUUGGACUUGUUCUCCAUUAUGGUUACUUUUGUUCAGAUUCUACCACAGAAGUGUCUAGAUCAUUUAUAAGACCUUCGGUGUGUGUUGCUUGUACUUGCCUCUACAAUUGCGAUGUUUUCUCAACUUCUCACUGUUCGGAACAUAGAGGAGCCUCUUUUCGAUUUGUCAUGUCGUGACCAUGAAGCCUACGCUGGUGUUGCGGUUUCUGAAGUUCUUAUGGGAAGCACUGUGACUGGACUGGAGUAGAGACUGAAAAUGUUUGGAUUUUGUAAGUAGUGUAUCUAUUCUCGGAGAAAUGAAGUCUUGGAUGUACAAGAUUCUGUUUUGGAAGUUUUAAAGAUGAAUUGAUAGGAAUGACAUGAGAAGCAUAUAUCCGCUGGUGAGCGUAGAUCCUAAUGAUGUCCAAAUGAUCGGAAAUAUGGGGGAAUGUGUGGUAUAGGCGAAACCACCCACCAUCGCAAAAAUUAUUUCUACGAAGUCUUGUUGAGCGAGUUCGAUGGUGCUUCCUUGUUGGAGAAUGUGAAAACAGGCUUAUGGUCAAUCAAAAUUAACGAUAUGGUCAAUUCAAAUUAACGAUGUCAUGUGAUGUCCGAAACUUUGGCAAUCACGAAAUAAAUGACUCCAAGGCAAUGAAUAACAGAGAACUGGAUCUUA